CUUAAAUACCGCCUGCCCGGGCCUCAGUUCCCAGUAAGUGUAAUGGCGAUAGAAGCAUUCCCUAUCUCGGAGAGAAAGAUAAACGCAUUAAAGACUGCGAGGCGCUCAGAUGCUGCCGUGAUUAUCUCUUUAUAGACAGACGAGCUGAAGAACAAUCGGAUGCUGCGGAGUACAAGUUUAAUACACACAACAACAGUUCUUGUCAGGUGGAAAAUGUGUGUGCAGUAACCCCUUGCCUGUUUGUCUUCAUAAACAACGAGCUCUUAAGAGGGUCAAACUGCAGGCAGAGCUGAGGCAGCUCGGGGAAGCCAACUUCCAAACAGCACUGUCAGACACUUCUGCAGAGUGCCC
rnacentral:lncRNA from 1 species